GAUGAACGCUGGCGGCGUGCCUAAUACAUGCAAGUCGAGCGAACAGAUGAGGAGCUUGCUCCUCUGACGUUAGCGGCGGACGGGUGAGUAACACGUGGAUAACCUACCUAUAAGACUGGGAUAACUUCGGGAAACCGGAGCUAAUACCGGAUAAUAUAUUGAACCGCAUGGUUCAAUAGUGAAAGACGGUUUUGCUGUCACUUAUAGAUGGAUCCGCGCCGCAUUAGCUAGUUGGUAAGGUAACGGCUUACCAAGGCGACGAUGCGUAGCCGACCUGAGAGGGUGAUCGGCCACACUGGAACUGAGACACGGUCCAGAAUCCUACGGGAGGCAGCAGUAGGGAAUCUUCCGCAAUGGGCGAAAGCCUGACGGAGCAACGCCGCGUGAGUGAUGAAGGUCUUCGGAUCGUAAAACUCUGUUAUUAGGGAAGAACAAAUGUGUAAGUAACUAUGCACGUCUUGACGGUACCUAAUCAGAAAGCCACGGCUAACUACGUG
rnacentral:rRNA from 1 species